rnacentral:rRNA from 1 species
CAGUAGCCGCGGGAAUACGUAGGGUGCAAGCGUUAAUCGGAAUUACUGGGCGUAAAGCGUGCGCAGGCGGUUAUAUAAGACAGAUGUGAAAUCCCCGGGCUCAACCUGGGAACUGCAUUUGUGACUGUAUAGCUAGAGUACGGCAGAGGGGGAUGGAAUUCCGCGUGUAGCAGUGAAAUGCGUAGAUAUGCGGAGGAACACCGAUGGCGAAGGCAAUCCCCUGGGCCUGUACUGACGCUCAUGCACGAAAGCGUGGGGAGCAAACAGGAUUAGAUACCCCGUGUAGUCCCUGUCUCUUAUA